ACAUACUAUUUUUCUGAAGCACUCUGUUGUAAGGUUGAGUUGUAUAGUACGAGUGUUUUCUCUUAAACAUUUUAAAAAGCGUGUAACAGGUGGGCUCUACAUCGUUGUGUACAACGAAGACUUAAGACUUACCUAUUUUAGUUGAAAAGCUAUUUUAUAAGACAUUAGUGAGGAAAUAAUAUCAUAAAUAACUAAAUCGAUGUGUGUUUUAACGAUUAUUUAAUUUAUGUUUUAAUUUUCAUUAAAUACUAGAUUUUUUUUAAAUAUUAUUGCAAAGUGUGGGUGUCUAAAGAUAAUAUGGGAUCAAGAAAAUACAAAUUAAAAUAUUAUAAUGCAGUGUAAAAUAACUUUAUUUAUGUCUUCAUAAUUUUACAUUGUAUCCAAUGAGGUACAUCGCCUUCAAAGAAGUUACUAUGAGCAUGGUGACCAGCGGUCAAGCCGAAGAUCAUGAAGAUUUCACUGCUGAUCAUCACUGUGGCAAUCCAAAUGACGAUCACCCAUGGAAGGAACAAGCCACUACCAAUCCACAUCCAUACGGUUAAUAAUUUACUCACGCAUAAGAAAACCCGCUGACGUUGAAUAGAUACAUCCGCCAGCUGUCAGAUCUAUGGAAGUAAUUAUGUGCGCAGAUUGUUAGGGCGC